CAUUCCCCACAAUCUCAUUUAUCCUGCACGGAGUCAUCCACUCUCCAACUUCCUGCUCCUCUUCCGCCGCUUCUCGUCAUUGUUCAGAUCGGUGGAGCCCUCCGAUCCAACCGCCCCAACCUGCUGCAUCGCAGCGGCCGCCGGCCUCCCCUCCGAUCCACCUCGCUGCUGCGUCGCCGCUGGCCUCACCUACGAACAACCCCGCACCAACCUGCUGCAUCUCCGCCGCCGGCCUAACCUGCGGAAUCAAAACCGCCCGACUAACCUGCAACGUUAUUCUCCGCGCCCCUUCCUGAUGCCGUCCUCAGAUUCCACAGCUGGUCUGAACGCCUCUUCCUCUCUUGAUUCAGUUCGAAAAUAAGAUAGCAGUUUUUCCCUUUGGUGGCUGGAUUUGGAAGUUAAAAUCAGUAUUAGUUGUUUCUUGGUUUUCUAUUUCGAAAAUCAGAGCUUCACAUGUAACUUGCAGAGAAAUAUUUAUGUAUUUUUGUUUCAUGAAUGGCAUGAUCAAAUAUACAGAGGCGAAAUGCUUUAUAUGACAGACAACAUGAUAAAAUUCUACAGCGAUAUAGUGAAGAAAAAUACUAUGGACUGUUGUUUCAAAAAAAGCUACAUCUGAUUAUUAGAGUCAAUUGCAUGGUUCCUAGUGCAAAAAUUCUCUUUGUUUCGUUACCACUUUUGGCACUUCUCCCACUGCUCAAUUCUUGACAACGGUAUAAAAUAGUGAUAUGGAUAUGACAAUCAGCUGACCAUAACAUGCUAGUCCUGCUCUAUGACGUAUCAUUGUAGAGUAGCUAAUUCCUUUUAUUCAGAAACCUGUAUUGGUACUCAAGCAGAUUGGAGAAACCAUUUGGAGGCACGAAGUCUGUAGAAAAAAGUAAGACUUUUAGCAGGUAUUCUGCUCCGUUGAGGCACACAUACUAGAAUACAUCAUCACCAGGUAUUUUCCUUAGCUAAUUCCUUCUCAGUCAAUCCAUUAUUUUUUGUUUGUCUUACCUUCGAAUAGCAAUAUUGAGAUGUCCACUGGUUAUAGGAAUUAUGCAGAGAAGUAGAACAAGCAUCUACCUUAUUACCUAGUCUCAACGUGACUUCUAUUAGAUUACCUACAGUAUGUUCUUUUACAGAGAGUAGCUCAUAUUUUAACUGAGAAUUGCGUCUGUAAUUGCAUUCUCUCUGUAUUUUAAGUAGUUUGGUUCAGAGUUUUAUUCAAAUCAACGUAGAAUCAAGCAUGCUAUCAUAUAAAUCUAAUUGCUAUGCGGUCAGAAUGCAAAUGACAAACAGAUGUGCAAAGGUUAGGAUGGUGGGAGUGCCUCUGAAUAUGAGCCCAAUGAUGAUGGGGAAGCUGAUGAUGCGAUGAGGUAUCUGGGGAGAAGAGAAGCAGGAGCCAACUCUACAUAUGUCGAAGAAAAGAUCUGUACAUAGUAGUCAAAUAGUUUCAGAUUUAAGUUCGCCAACGCGGCUCUACUUGGCCCCAAACUGAACAGCCUUGCCAGUACAGCACAGAACGCCUUCAUAUCAGGUAGAACACUUCACGACAACUUUGUUCUAGUCAAGAAUUUUGCACGCUUGCUACACCAGCUCGGGGCUCCGCGGAUUCUGCUCAAGCUUGACUUGGCGCGUGCGUUUGACUCCCUCUCUUGGCCCUACCUCUUCGAGGUGCUGCGGCAAUGUGGUUUCAGCGAGAAGUUCCUUGGAUGGCUUGCUAUCUUGCUGGCUGUUGCUAUGUUGUGGCUGCUUGCUAUGCGGCUGGUUGUUUCCGUGCUUCUGGCUGCUUGUUGUACUGCCUGGUUGUUUAUGUGCUAGUGGAGCUACUUGAUGACUUCUUGUUGGUUAUUUGCUCCAUGAAAGUCAAUUAUAUAUUUUACUUGCUAGGAAACUGCGAGCACAACCUGAAAUGAGCACCUUGGUAUCUGGUACACAGAUUGUGUGUGAAGUUCCAUAGGAGCACACUUCCUCAAGCACCAUCCUUUCUAACAUGGGGUACCAAUCAAGACCUCUAGGAGGUCUAGAACACUAGCUAUUGCAGAACGCCUCCCAGAGUUGGAAGAAAAAGUUGAACAACAGAAGAGCGACAAUAGAGGCAAAUGCGAUGUACCAACAACUGAGAGAGUUAAAUUGCAAUAGGAUGCACUUGAAUAGAUGUAAAUGAAGCGAUAAGAACAAUCGGCUAUGAAGAAGAGCUAAGAAGAAAGAUGAACACCACAACCUCAACAGCUUCCUCGCAGGGAAACAUGCAACUCAAAACUACGCACCAUACUUGAUGGUGCUAUUCUAACAUGAACUUAGUUUGUUUGUUUCCAGCGAUGUCAAUUUUCUAGUGCAACCUAUUCAGUUAUGUACCAUGAUAUUUGGUGGCUAAGAUAUAUAUUGAGAUUUUAAUGGUAAUUGAUUAUAUUUGCCA